UUUGAAGAAAAAGAAUCGUAUGUAUUUCGACUGUUUUUUUUUUAAGUUUUAAGGGAAUAGAAAGACCAUACAUGUACCAAAGGAAACUUCAGAUAAGAGGAUAGAUUGUAUGUAUAAAAGGAAUCUACCGGAAAUCAUAAUUAGGUGUUUAAUCCUUUAGUUCCUGCUUGGACGACUUAUACCUUCACUUUUGCAGGAUGGCAUCUCUGUCUGCAGGCAUUAUAGCGGGAAUAAUAAUUGGAUCUAUCUUCGGAGUUCUUUUGAUAGGUUGCUGCUUUUCUAUGAUUUACCGUCAUGGUCGCCAUAGAUUUUGGGGACACCACGGAACUUAUCCACCAAUCAUUGGAGAACAUCAUGGUGGGCAUUAUGGAGGUCACCAUGGGGGUCAUCAUGGCGGCCAUCAUUGAUAAACAUCACUGACACGUGUUUCAUAAUGAAGGACAUAUGUUACUUUACUCCCAGUGGCAGCUAAUUAAAGUCUCAUUAGUUAUAAAGAGUCUUGAAUGCAACAUGACAUGACACUGGAAGUGAUGCGAGGCAAGCAAUGACGGAUCCAUUUCUAAGAAGUCCAAUCCACACUUCGCAAAAGUUGUUUCCCUUUGCGGGGUCAACCAGAAGGUCAAUAGGGAAAGAAACUUCAUUUCUUCUCUUUAUGCUACCAAAUAUUUGGGCGUGCUCUGAUAAAUCCAUUGUGUUUAAUUUUUUUUCUUUCAAUGUGUGGGUAGACCCAUAUUGGGGCAAUCAGUACAUGAAAGGCCGAGCUUUUUUAAAGUCAAAUGACGAAGUUACAAACCUGCAAACUACAAAGGCUACUGUGUGGAUUGUAUGGGUUUAUCCCCUAAGAUGGCGGCCAAGGGACAUAACUUUUGCAAAGUGUGGAUUGGACUAUUAUAUAAGACUUAUAAAAAUACUAGGAACCAAAAAAAUAUACUGGGUAUUUAUAAUUCAUUUGAAAAUAAAUCUCUAUUGUAGAUAGCUUAAACAUAUUGUAUUGAUUCGCUUGUCAUUUUUGUGCAGACGUGAAUAUUUGAAAAGUAGCCCAUGUUUAAAUGAGGUAAUGGAAUUGUAAUUUUUCUUCCAAAAUUGCAAGUAUAAAAAAAUAACAAAGAAUCA